GACGAACGCUGGCGGCGUGCUUAACACAUGCAAGUCGAGCGGAAAGGCGCUGCGUUUGUGUGGUUCUCGAGUGGCGAACGGGUGAGUAACACGUGAGUAACCUGCCCUUGACUUUGGGAUAACUUCAGGAAACUGGGGCGAAUACCGGAUAUGAGCUCCUGCUGCGUGGGGGGGGUUGGAGAGUUUCGGCGUUGGGGGCUGUACUCGCGGAUUAUCAGCUUGUUGGUGGGGUAGUGGCUUACCAAGGCUUUGACGGGUAGCCCGCAUGAGAGGGUGACCGGCCACCUUGGGACUAAGAUAGGCACCAGAAUCCAACGGGCGGCAGUAGUGGGGAAUCUUGCACAAUGGGAGGACGCCUGAUACAGAAACGCCGCGUGCGGGAUACCCGCCUUCGAGUUGUAAACCGCUUUCGCAUGUGACGAACCGAGCGUGACGGUAACGGGUCAAGAAGCAACGGCUAACUACGUG
rnacentral:rRNA from 1 species